rnacentral:rRNA from 1 species
UUUUCAUCAGACAAUCUGUGUGAGCACUGCAAAGUACGCUUCUUUAAGGUAAGGAGGUGAUCCAACCGCAGGUUCCCCUACGGUUACCUUGUUACGACUUCACCCCAGUCAUGAAUCACAAAGUGGUAAGCGCCCUCCCGAAGGUUAAGCUACCUACUUCUUUUGCAACCCACUCCCAUGGUGUGACGGGCGGUGUGUACAAGGCCCGGGAACGUAUUCACCGUGGCAUUCUGAUCCACGAUUACUAGCGAUUCCGACUUCAUGGAGUCGAGUUGCAGACUCCAAUCCGGACUACGACGCACUUUAUGAGGUCCGCUUGCUCUCGCGAGGUCGCUUCUCUUUGUAUGCGCCAUUGUAGCACGUGUGUAGCCCUGGUCGUAAGGGCCAUGAUGACUUGACGUCAUCCCCACCUUCCUCCAGUUUAUCACUGGCAGUCUCCUUUGAGUUCCCGGCCGGACCGCUGGCAACAAAGGAUAAGGGUUGCGCUCGUUGCGGGACUUAACCCAACAUUUCACAACACGAGCUGACGACAGCCAUGCAGCACCUGUCUCACGGUUCCCGAAGGCACAUUCUCAUCUCUGAAAACUUCCGUGGAUGUCAAGACCAGGUAAGGUUCUUCGCGUUGCAUCGAAUUAAACCACAUGCUCCACCGCUUGUGCGGGCCCCCGUCAAUUCAUUUGAGUUUUAACCUUGCGGCCGUACUCCCCAGGCGGUCUACUUAACGCGUUAGCUCCGGAAGCCACGCCUCAAGGGCACAACCUCCAAGUAGACAUCGUUUACGGCGUGGACUACCAGGGUAUCUAAUCCUGUUUGCUCCCCACGCUUUCGCACCUGAGCGUCAGUCUUUGUCCAGGGGGCCGCCUUCGCCACCGGUAUUCCUCCAGAUCUCUACGCAUUUCNNNNNNNNNNNNNNNNNNNNCCCCCCUCUACAAGACUCAAGCCUGCCAGUUUCGAAUGCAGUUCCCAGGUUGAGCCCGGGGAUUUCACAUCCGACUUGACAGACCGCCUGCGUGCGCUUUACGCCCAGUAAUUCCGAUUAACGCUUGCACCCUCCGUAUUACCGCGGCUGCUGGCACGGAGUUAGCCGGUGCUUCUUCUGCGGGUAACGUCAAUUGCUGCGGUUAUUAACCACAACACCUUCCUCCCCGCUGAAAGUACUUUACAACCCGAAGGCCUUCUUCAUACACGCGGCAUGGCUGCAUCAGGCUUGCGCCCAUUGUGCAAUAUUCCCCACUGCUGCCUCCCGUAGGAGUCUGGACCGUGUCUCAGUUCCAGUGUGGCUGGUCAUCCUCUCAGACCAGCUAGGGAUCGUCGCCUUGGUGAGCCGUUACCUCACCAACAAGCUAAUCCCAUCUGGGCACAUCUGAUGGCAAGAGGCCCGAAGGUCCCCCUCUUUGGUCUUGCGACGUUAUGCGGUAUUAGCCACCGUUUCCAGUAGUUAUCCCCCUCCAUCAGGCAGUUUCCCAGACAUUACUCACCCGUCCGCCACUCGUCAGCAAAGCAGCAAGCUGCUUCCUGUUACCGUUCGACUUGCAUGUGUUAGGCCUGCCGCCAGCGUUCAAUCUGAGCCAUGAUCAAACUCUUCAAUUUAAAAGUUUGAUGCUCAAUGAAUUAAACUUCGUAAUGAAUUACGUGUUC